GAGGGAUUAGCAUUAUUGACCUGCCCUUGGGAGGGGAACAACCGGCUGCUAAUACCCCGUAGGCUGAGGAGUAAAAGGAGGAAUCCACCCGAGGAGGGGCUCGCGUCUGAUUAGCUAGUUGGUGAGGCAAUAGCUUACCAAGGCGAUGAUCAGUAGCAGGGAGAAGGACCUUGUCGGCCAC
rnacentral:ncRNA from 1 species